rnacentral:rRNA from 1 species
UACGUAGGGAGCAAGCGUUGUCCGGAUUUACUGGGUGUAAAGGGUGCGUAGGCGGCUUUGCAAGUCAGAUGUGAAAUCUAUGGGCUCAACCCAUAAACUGCAUUUGAAACUGUGGAGCUUGAGUGAAGUAGAGGCAGGCGGAAUUCCCCGUGUAGCGGUGAAAUGCGUAGAGAUGGGGAGGAACACCAGUGGCGAAGGCGGCCUGCUGGGCUUUAACUGACGCUGAGGCACGAAAGCGUGGGUAGCAAACAGG